AUACGGAGGAUGCGAGCGUUAUCCGGAUUUAUUGGGUUUAAAGGGUGCGUAGGCGGUAGAUUAAGUCAGCGGUGAAAGUUUGUCGCUCAACGAUAAAAUUGCCGUUGAUACUGGUUUACUUGAGUAUAGUUGAAGUAGGCGGAAUGCGUGGUGUAGCGGUGAAAUGCAUAGAUAUCACGCAGAACUCCGAUUGCGAAGGCAGCUUACUAAGUUAUAACUGACACUGAAGCACGAAAGCGUGGGUAUCAAACAGGAUUAGAUACCCUGGUAGUCCACGCAGUAAACGAUGAUUACUAGCUGUUUGCGAUAUACAGUAAGUGGCACAGAGAAAGCGUUAAGUAAUCCACCUGGGGAGUACGCCGGCAACGGUGAAACUUAAAGGAAUUGACGGGG
rnacentral:rRNA from 1 species